ACGCUAGCGGCGGCUUACACAUGCAAGUCGAGGGGUAUUUAUCUUCGGAUAGAGAGACCGGCGCACGGGUGCGUAACGCGUAUGCAAUCUACCUUUUACAGAGGGAUAGCCCAGAGAAAUUUGGAUUAAUACCUCAUAGUAUUACGAAAUGGCAUCAUUUUGUAAUUAAAGUCACAACGGUAAAAGAUGAGCAUGCGUCCCAUUAGCUAGUUGGUAAGGUAACGGCUUACCAAGGCUACGAUGGGUAGGGGUCCUGAGAGGGAGAUCCCCCACACUGGUACUGAGACACGGACCAGACUCCUAUGGGAGGCAGCAGUGAGGAAUAUUGGACAAUGGGCGCAAGCCUGAUCCAGCCAUGCCGCGUGCAGGAUGACGGUCCUAUGGAUUGUAAACUGCUUUUAUACGAGAAGAAACACUCCGACGUGUCGGAGCUUGACGGUAUCGUAAGAAUAAGGAUCGGCUAACUCCGUGCCAGCAGCCGCGGUAAU
rnacentral:rRNA from 1 species